GCGGACAUAGCUCAGUUGGUAGAGCACCACCUUGCCAAGGUGGAUGUCGCGCGUUCGAGUCGCGUUGUCCGCUCCA
rnacentral:tRNA from 7 species